UUUUCUGGUUGGAAGGGGAGGGGAAAGGAGAGGGAAGAAAAGGCACCCUACUCCCAACAAACUGAGGAGAACUAGGCAGCUUUCUGAUCAGAGUUCAGAUGAAGAAGGUCACAGUAAUGUGUGGCCGCUGACUAAAAUAACCCCGUGGAUGGGAGAGUUAACCACAUUAGAAGCAAACUAAAAAGGUGGAGGUCAGAAGUAUACAGGAUGUCUAAGACCUUCACAGAUGACAAGUCCCAAGGAGAUGGGAGUGUGUAGAGGUCGAAACAAAAAGGACUGGGCACCUAUAAUAGCCAUUUGUUCUGGCAAAGCUGUGCCAAGUUCUUAGGACUAAGAAGGGCACUUGAUAAGGUCAGCACCCUUGCCUUGAUGCUGGAUAUUUCCCUGCAAAGCUGGAGUUGAGUUUUGAGAGUGAAAGACAGAGCAGAACCAUUCCUAUGUCACAGAUGUAGCUGGAGGCCCUGACUUACAUAACCGUCACAGGAUACAGAAUGACAGUUCCUCAGCCUACAGUAAAUGUGAUUAAAUUAUCUCAUCAGCCUCGUUCUCCUGAGGAUUUCUACAAUUUCAGAAAACCAUCUGUUAAUAUGACCUGUCUCCUAGACCCCCACACAGCACAGGACAGGGAUAUUAGUAUUCAAAGACACUGCUCCCUUCGGCGAGCCUUUGGAGGCCUACCAAGUUCGGUCUCUGUAGCCAGUUGAGGCCAGGAACGAGACGUGGAGAAACGACAGGGAAGGCAUGAGAACGAGCAAAGAGAAAACUCAGAAAUUUGUUGUAACCCAGCCACAAUUCUUUCAGCUGACCUGAUCUAAUUCCAGCAGCAAGUCUCUCUGAAACCCUGCCACAGCUGAAUUUAUUUUUAUUUUGCCUGCUCAGAGGCAGCGUACGGUGAAGGCAAGAGCACAUCACUUCAGGAAAAGUACUGCAGUGUAUUACUCACCCCGCCCCCACCGUGUGGAAAGGUUAAUUUGAAUAAGGCUGCCGCUUCCACAAAUAGAACUGUAACGGCACACAGAAGCAUGGCCAAUGAGAGUGGCUUGUAGUGAUGUCAUACUUAUACCUGCUUCAUAUUAUUUGCUGAAUGGUAACAAUGCGUGCCUUUAAUCUUACGUUUCAUUGGUUAAGAGCCCUGCCACUCUGAGUACUUCUGGAGAGUUUUAGACACUGCGGUUUCUUUACAUACUCAGAUUUUUUUUUCUUUCAGUUUUUGUACCUCUAUAAACUGCUGGAAAGUGAACAUUUUAAACAUUUGUUCUGAAAAUAAAUAUAGCAGACUUUAUAGUUUCGGCCCGGCCUACAGAGUCCAUGAUACUUGGUCCAUCUAACAAGUCAGGGACAGUGUGAGAAAGGAUGCUUCAUUGACUGCACCCCUAGAAAGAGUACCUGGCCUCAGUACUGUCCCUCUGAUUUAACGGAAAACAAACAAACUUAUUUAGUUUAUUUUUGCAAGGUAGUUUUUCAGGGAGCAGGGCUUUCUUAAAAGCACCAGAUCUAAGCUUUCCUACUGUGCAGGAUUGAGAUCAUCAGAGAGAGGGAGAUCUCCAUGUCUUAGUUUUGUCCUAAGUGGUUUAGAGUUUUCAAUCAAUUAAAUUUUAUGUCAUUAAAAUGCGUCUCAGAUCACUCAGACUCCGGGGCUUUUCUGGAGAAAUUCUUCCAAACAAGCUUGGAAAAACCUUUGUGCCUUGAAGUGAGGGUAGAUUAGUUAUUCAUUAGUUAGGCAUUAACCAGCCCACUAAAGGAAGGAGAGGAACAUUCUGGUCAGCAUGAGAUACAAACGUGACUGGGAGGUCAGAGGUAAAUGUCCUUAUUCAAAAGUUUUGCAGUGUGUGGUGGUGAGGGCAUUGGACAAUCCUCACCAGGCAAAGUCAGAUCCUCAAAGAACCAAAGACAAAGUCGAGCUGUCCACACUUAGCCAGUAAAGCAGAACACAGACACAGAGGUUAAUCCGUGGCACUGCCAAGACAGCAUAUUAAAUGCUCCAGUGAGGAGGGCAGGGCAUUAAAGGACCAGUUAGUUUCUAAUAGGCACAAAGGAGAAGCAAGGGGUUCUUGGGGAGGGAGUGGAUGCCUGCAUAUAUCUUCAGCAGACAUUCCUGACUGGAAGUAUUAUUUUGAGAGACGUGUUGGGGAAAAAAAAACAGGUGCACAAAUUAGCAAGAAUGAUUCAAAUUAAGGAGAACUAGAAAAUACCAAGUGUUUUGACUGGGUUUGAAAUGGCUUCGUGUGAGCUUAUGUGUGUGUUUGAAUACUUGAUCCCCAAACAUUGCUGAUUUGGGAGAUUGUCAACCCUUUAGGAGAUGGAGUCCAGCUAGCAGACUGGCUAAUAAACACAGGUCUUUAAAGGUGGUAUUCAACUCUGGUUUUAAUCUGGCUCUGCAUCCAAGUGUAAUAUGUGAACGGUCAUACCACAAUCUCUUAGUACUAAAAAAGCUGCCUCAGCUAUCAGAACCUCCCUGCCAUCUGACGUGAUGAAUCAGAAUGAAGCUCUGCUUCCUUAUGUUGCUUUUUUCAAGUAUUCUGUUUAAGGACAAGAGAAGUAACUAGCGUACAAAGCAUUUUGAACAUCUACAUCUCAGACAAGUAGCCAACAUCGAUGAGUUUUGAAAGUGAAGUUUCUUUAGGUUUGUAUGCCAUCGUUUACUGUCUUCACCGUCUGAUGAGAGGUUAAUCUAGAUGGCACAAAAUUUUGAUUUUCAUCGACAAUAUCACCCCUACACUUACAGAUCAGGAAAUAUUACAGAAGUUGUGGAAAGAUCUCAAGAACCAGAAGAUGCUGACAUCUGCUUUGCUGUUGUGUCUUUUAUGUAUGUCUGGAAGCUGCACCUAUGAGAUCAUACAGGUAGACUUGCCUGAAUAAGAUGUGUGUAAUGGAGAACACCAGUAGAUAUUCAAGCAAAGAUGGGGAACUCUUACAAACUCCUCCCUUAGCUGAAGAGCUCCUCAUGACUCCUGAGAGAGGAAACUUCAGUCUUCUCGAGGGACAGGCCUCUGGAUAGGGUAUCCAAUUCUAAGUGUCAGUCCUAAACAUAUACCAAGGGAUUGCAGACUGUAUUCACACACACACCACCACCACCACCACCGACACCAUCAGCAGCAGCAGCAGCCGUAAAAACAACAACAACAACAACAACAACAACAACAACAACAACAACAACAACAGAAGUAGCCAGGUAUUUAAGAAAGAUUUCUGAGGAAUCAUGGGAGAUUGGUUGGUUGGAGGAGGGAGGAGGCUGGAAGAUGAUGUAAGUAAAGUUCUCAUGUAUGUUAUUCUCAAAAAAAAACUUUACAAUUUUUUAUUUUCUUAUACCCAUAAAUAAACACAUGUAUGG
rnacentral:lncRNA from 1 species